AGUGAAAGGGGAGGGGGAGCUGCAGAAGGAGAGGAGCUACUGUGAAACAACAACGGAGCUUUUCUACUGAUCAAACUACUGAUGCUGCUUUCAGAGGGGGUGCUGGCUCCAGGGGCAGGGCUGCUUUAAUAAGUAGGCCGCUGCCCAGGGCACACUUAUUUUGAGGGCCCAUGGCUGACUUGUCAUUUUUUUGCCUUUAUUUAUUUAUUAAAUAAGUACUUGGUGCUGGCUCCCUCCCCUGGCCGAUCCACUUACAUUUCGCACCCCCCUCAACCCGGUGAAGUGGAAACGGCCAGAGGAGGAAAGCAAGCCCUGCCUGCGACUGCCUCAGUCUGCAGAGAGGGAGCCGGAAGAGGAGUAGAGUGGUGCGUCACACGCAGGUGCCUCGCUGGUCUGUAGCUGCUGCUCAAGUUCAGCAAAUCCUCCUGAUGUCGGCGCUUGUUGUACCCAGCUGUCACACUCGCACAUCAUGACGCUGCCCGGCCCCAGGCUCUCCAGGAAUCCACCAGACACCUUCACUGAAUCUAGACUUGAUGCAAGAGAGUGGAGCUGAAGGAGCAUGUAGAAGAGCUGGAGCAUCGUUGUAUUCAGCUGUCAGGAGAAACACACUAUUGGUGAAUACAUUGCACUUUAUCAGAACCAGAGAGCCAUACUGAAGCAGCGUCACAAGGAAAUGGAGGAGUACAUUAGCUGACUGGCUCAGGACAAAGAGGAGAUGAAGGCUAAUCUGCUGGAAUUGCAAGUUUUGGUCAUGUGACUGGUAACUGAGCACAAUGAAUGGUACAGGAGGUCCAUGGAAGCAACCCAGGGUCCCCAGACAGGGUCAGAAGAGUUCCCAGCAGAAAACCCUAUGGAACUUGAAGGAAAAGAGAAUGGAGCUCUGGAGGAAGUCUGCUUAGAAGAGGAUGGGAGACGGGAAGUACAGUCAUUGCCUCAUUUGGCAGCUCCUCAGGAACGACUAAACCCCUGGAUCAGAAGACCCAACCACUAAACAAAUUAUGCAUGAGAUACAGAAUCCCCAGGAAUGGCCUGGUGCCAUGCUGCAGAAUCCACGCAUCCCCUUUUUCUACCGUGCUGACUAAAAUGACGAGGUCCGAAUUAUGGUGAUUUGAGGGAGAAGUUGACCGAUGCAUCCCUCCUUUUCCCAUGCCAACGCCUGCUUGUGCUGGGAUUCAUUUUCUCCAAGGACACAUUAGAAACCAUUGCUUUGGGAUGGGGGAGUGCUGGAGAUUGGCAAUUAAUGGAAUGGAUGUGGAGAACUGUUGCCUUUCUGUACUGAAUUUUGGGUCCCAUAGUGAAUAGUUGGUGAAAUGUGGAGUAUUUUCUUCCACCCAAGGGAACCCCUGUAUUGCACAGGCCAAUGGGUUAUACCAUUCAGUGCAGAUUUGUUUCCACACUCUAGUUUAAAGCUGAUAUUUUCACCUGCUACCCUUGGGGGAGGGGGCUCAACCCCAUCCACUUGAAUAGUCAGUCUUAUUUCUGGAUUUUCACAUAUCUGAAGCACUACUGUUUGAUAUGAUGUUGACCACAAGAAGAAUGGUGGUUUAGAAAUGAGGUGGAGGGUUAUACUGUUAGGGGGAAGGCUGUUCAGGCAGAACAAAAGAGAUAUGACCAUGUUGAUUGUUCUCUGUUCAUUCUCAGAUAAUAAGUAAUCCUUUGGGAAAAAUGUGUUAUUCUAGAACUUUGGGUAAAGGCAGGUGAUUGACGUUGCUUGUAAGUAUGCAGUCCAAGGAAUCUCUUCUCUUGCAUGGCGUUGAUCUCAUACACAUGGGAAGAGUUUUUGUUUUUUUAACAGCUGCAAAAGUUAAGGAUUAAGGAUUUUUUAGCUCAAAAUGGUCAAUGAAAGAUAUAAGUUAAAGUGCAGAUAGAAGUUGUAUCCAACCUCAAGUCUUUCUAGGGGAAAUUCCUGAAUGAAACUGAUAUAUCUACGGUCGACUGAACCCAGUACAUUGUCAGACACAUUGUGCAGCCUGAACUGGUAUCAUUACAAUCAGUCUGGCUUCAUACAAGGCAUAUGGAGGUUGUUUUUAAAUAAGGAGUAGCAGAAGACUUAGACCUAAGCAGUGGAUAAAAAUGAUAUACUGACGAGCAUUACAUGAGCAGAAGCAUAUUUAUUUUAUAUUUGAAAGUAGUACACAUUGAGGUUUUGAGGAAUUUGCACCUUGCCAUUCUCUCUGCUUAAAGGGCCAUAUACCAUAUGACCGUGUACAAUGUCUCAGAGUGUCCUGGUUAAUUUUUCACUUUAACUGUUUUAGAUUUCAUGAUGUUGGCAGUUUUUUAAUUCAUGCAUAUAUCUUGAAUGUGUAACUUUUUGUGCCUCCUGUUGUUUGACCCAUGCAAAACUGCAAAAGCUUAAAGGAUCAGUAACAUCAAUUUUUUAAAACAAUAAAAAAUUGGUUAGUAUAGAACGAAAAAAAAACACAAAGACACAUAUUAAACUUUUAAAUCGCUAAGUAUUUAGUAUUCAAAAAUAACUUACCCAAACUGCGAUUGAGCUCCUCUUCAGAAAAGGCGACACGGCCACAAUCCAUCAUGCGGCGCUCGAUUUCUCCUCCCUAGCUAUCUCCUAUAAGGAAAGCAGGGAGGAGAAAUCGAGCACCGCACAAUGGAUCACCGGAUUGCCUUUUCUGAAGAGGAGCGAGCGCAAGUGGAGUUUCGGUUAGUUAUUUCUUAAUAAAGUUAACGAUUUAAAAGUUUGUCCUUGUUUUUUCCGUUCUAUACUAACAAAAUUCUAAAAA